rnacentral:lncRNA from 1 species
GUGAGAUCAGUGGAGACCUUGGGAUAGCCUUUACAUGCUUGAGAUUCAAGGAUAGGAGCCGGAAUGAAGUGGGAAAUAGACACGGUAGCUGGGGGGAUCUGGAUCUAAGGGCUUGUUGACCUGGGACUCGGCGAUGUCCGCCCUCUCCUCCGCCUCAUCCAGCUCGUGCUGCACCUUGCGGAACUUGGACAGCCUCCAGCUCAUUCUCCAGCUCCCGGACCCGGGCCUCCAGCUUCUGCAGCUGCUUCUUGCCGCCCUUGAGGGCGAUCUGCUCUGCCUCGUCCAGACGGUGCUGCAAGUCCUUGAUGGUCUGCUCCAUGUUCUUCUUCAUGCGCUCCAGGUCGUCAUUGGCACGGACAGCAUCAUCCAGCUGGAUUUGAGUGUCCUGAGGAUCAGAAAAAUGAGUGGCCUCAUUGCGGCUGCGUGUCUCCGCAUCCAGGGAGGUCUGCAGGGAGUCCACCAUCCGCAGGUGGUUGCGCUUGGCCUGCUCCAUCUCCUCAUCCUUCUCUGCCAGCUUCCUUUCAAUCUCUGCCUUGAUCUGGUUGAACUCUAGCUGGGCGCGGAGGAUCUUGCCCUCCUCGUGCUCCAGGGAGGCCUGGAAAGGAUAUAGAUUUUGCAGGCAUAUAGUCAGAGACCAGGGUGGAAGCAAGGGUGUGUCUAAAAACCAUGGCACAGAGAGCAUUUGGGGAUGGUAUACAUGACUCAGUAGGAGAUGCAGUGGAAGGAAAUGAGAAAGAGUGUGCACAAGAGAAAUGAAAGCAAGCUGAAGAGAAGGGGAUGCAGACUCCCAGGGGGGCGGAGGGAGUCAGCUUUGAAGACAAAGAGGAAAAUGAAAAGUGUUGCCAAGGAAACAGAGGCAAUGAAGCAGAGAGUAAAGGAACAAAAAAAAAAAAACCACCACACACAGGCAGGCAGAGGUGGAAAGUGGAAUGAGCUGAAAUAGGAGUCUUUCUAAGGUACAGUAAAUAAAAUGUUUGUGUGAAGGAACU